rnacentral:lncRNA from 10 species
GGCGCCUUAGCUGCUCUUCAGUACUAAUCUCUGCAAAAAGAGAAAAUAAUUAUGCUAGUUUUAGACUCUCUUAGUUGUUUAAAUUCAUUGAAAACAUUUAUUGAGCCCCUACUACGUGCCAAGCACCCAACAAGUGCCGGGAGAUAUGAGGAUGACUCACCCGUGGCAUCUGCUCUUAAAUAGCUCACACGCUAGUGGGAGAGGAUGUAAGAUGAGGCUAGGAGGUUAAGCACAAAGUACAAAGUGAUAAGUGCUAUAAUAAAGUUAUGUACAAAGUGCUCUGGGACAAGAUGAGAAAACAAGUUCUUCUGCUCAGGCUAGUUGGAGAAGGCUUCACAGGUUGGCAGUGGCUGGAUCGGGGGAGGAGGGAAGUGGAGGAGUGACAUUUAAGCAUGGACAGUCAUUUGCCAGGCAGAAAAACAAGGGUUAGGUAAAAGGAGCAGCAUAUGGAAAGGUCACGACUAAUUCCAGAAAUAGAGGGAUGGAUUUGAGGGACACUUCUGAAGUGGGACAAGUAGGAUUGGGUGACUGACUGGAUAUGAGGGCUGAAGAAGAAAGACAAACUAAAGUUGAUUACAAGAUUGCUAGCUUGGCUGACAAGGAUAUGGUGAUGCCAAUAAGAAAUAUAAAAGGAGGUACAGGUUUGGGAUCUUCAGAUAUUUUUGAGGUGUUUUCAGGACACCCAUAUAAAAAUAACCAGUAGGCAACUGAAGAGUCAAAUCUUGAGGUCAGGAGAAGUCAGGGCUAGAGAUAGAGAUCUGGAUGUCAUCAGCAUAUAGGUGGCACUGAAGUACUUGCUUAAUUCAGCCUUUCCCAAAAUAGUUUUGUGAAAUGUGAAUAAAUAUGCCACAAAACAUGUGUUUCAUGGUCACAUAUAACAAUAAUGACAACAGCAGCAGCAGUUACCAGUAAUAUUGCAUAAAUAGUACGUGCUAGGCACUAUUCCAAAUGCAUUACAUAUUUUAACUAUACCUUUGUGAUCACAACUAUUUAUUUAUUUUAGCAUCUUUAUAAUCAUUAUGUACCAGUGGUUUCCAAAUAUGGCCUCACAUGAGAAUAACCUGGGGCAUUUUUAAACCACGGAUUUCUGGGCUCCAUUCACAGAAUCUAAAAUUUCUGGGGUUGGGCACACUGGCGUUUGAGAACCACUGUCAUCCAGGACAGGGCAGUACAGUACAAUAUAGGACAGUAUAGUCUAUGUUCCCUCUUAGAAAUGUACAAGGCAUUUCCCUAUUUAACUAUGGGGUUCCUUUUUCAUGGCAUCCUUUUAACAUCCUGCUGAACACUAUUCUGAAAACAUGUUUGGAAAACAAUAGUUUAUUCAAGAAAUACUUACUGGACACUUAACUAGGUUCUAGGUACUAGGGAUACAAUUAACAAAUACAUAAACCUCAGGCCCCCAAUAGUUCAUAGACAAGUAAAGAACACAAGCAAACAGGAAAGUAUAAAUGGUAUGAUGACAAAGGUAAUUACAAUGUGUUAUGAAGAGCACAGGAAGGGUGUGUGUGCGUGUGUGUGCAUGCAUGCAUAAACGAAGGCCUCCUGGAGGAAAUUAUACCUAAAACUGGGUACAAAAGAAUGAAUUAGGAGUUUACUAGGAGAAGGAGGCCUUGGGGGAUAAGGGCAAUGGGAGAAAAGUGUUUUAGGCAAAGGAAACAGCAUAAACAAGCUCCAAGGAGAGAGACAGAACGUGGCCUACAAGUGCACAGGCAAAGCUUGGGCACAGAAUUUGAGAAAAUAGCAUGAGAUGAGGCUACAAAAGGGUGCCUGAUCAUGAAAGAUUAGGCGAGCCACGUAAAGGAGUUUGGACUUGAUCCCAAGGGUCCUGGGAGGCAGUGAAGGGUUUUAAACUAGAGACAGAUAUGAUCACAUCUAUGUCUCAGAAAGGUUUCUCUGGCUAGGGGGUAGAGGAAAGGAUUGUUUAAUCUCUUUCUUCUUAAAAAGUACCCUCUUGGGCAUAAUAAAAACUAUAGGCUCAAACAUGGAAUGCAUCAGAGAUAAGAAGAUAAAGCACUUACCCUUAAGAAGCUUGGUCUAAUGGGCAGGGCAGAAACCAGUCCCAAAAUAGUGUAAAAAGCAAAAUGCUCAGCCAGGCCUGGUGGCUCACGCCUGUAAUCCCAGCACUUUGGGAGGCUGAGGCGGGCAGAUCAUUUGAGGUCAGGAGUUCAAGACUAGCCUGGCCAACAUGGUGAAACCCCAUCUCUACUAAAAAUACACACAAAAAAAAUUAGCUGGGUGUGGUGGCGCAUGCCUGUAAUCCCAGCUACUCGGGAGGCUGAGGCAGCAGAAUCGCUUGAACCUGAGAGAUAGAGGUUGCAGUGAGCUGAGAUUGUGUGCCACUGCACUCCAGCCUGGGCGACAGAGCGAGACCCUGUCUCAAGAAAAACAAAACAAAACAAAAUAAAACAAAACAAAACUCUACCAGCACCAGGAGUAGAUAAGAAGGAGCUCCUAACUCUGCUGUGGGUGCGGGAGAAAACUUGAAAGAAGUGACUUCUGAGCUGAACCUUGAAACAUGAGUUCACAAAGUAGAUUCAGGGAGUUGGGGGUAGAGUGGGGAAUGGGACUAGGUAUACAGAUAGAGAAAACGUACUCAAGGCAGAGGAAAAAAUACAAGUAAAGAAACGGCACUAUAAGCUGAUUUAUAUUAUAAGAAAGCAUCAACACCAAAAAAAGUCAGAAUGAAGUGUGUAUUUCAUGCCAAAAAAAUCAAAAGGAGAACAAGUAAUUUCCACAUUACUUUUAGAUGUAAU